rnacentral:rRNA from 1 species
CCUACGGGAGGCAGCAGUGAGGAAUAUUGGUCAAUGGACGAAAGUCUGAACCAGCGAUGCCGCGUGCAGGAAGAAGGCCCUAUGAGUUGUAAACUGCUUUUGUACGAGGGAAAACGCAGAAACGCGGAUCUGUCUGAAAGUAUCGUACGAAUAAGGAUCGGCUAACUCCGUGCCAGCAGACGCGGUAAUACGGAGGGUUCAAGCGUUAUCCGGAUUUAUUGGGUUUAAGGGGUGCGUAGGCGGUCGGAUAAGUUAGAGGUGAAAUCCCGGGGCUCAACUUCGGAAUUGCCUCUGAUACUGUUCGGCUAGAGAGUAGUUGCGGUAGGCGGAAUGUAUGGUGUAGCGGUGAAAUGCUUAGAGAUCAUACAGAACACCGAUUGCGAAGGCAGCUUACCAAGCUACUUCUGACGUUGAGGCACGAAAGCGUGGGGAGCAAACAGGAUUAGAUACCCGGGUAGUC